AGUUUCUAGGGAAACCAUUCAGAGUCGACCAUGGCGACGGACGGUGGUAGCCGCGGGGAGCGAAUUGCCAUUUCCAACCAACAUAAAUCCAGCCUCGCUUCCCCUGAAAAAGUCCGUGAACUUCUUAAUGAGGGGGUAUCUGCAGUAGACGUCAAUUGCAACAGCAGACAAGGAGAUUUAAACAUUCCGGAAGUAAAAGGCAACACCCAGGCACCCUGUGAAGCUACGAACGAUGAAGCUUUUUUCUCCAGAGUGGAAUCAUAUUCAUGUAUGAAAUGGGCAGCCAAGCCACGCGUCCUGUCUCCCCUGAUGUGCGCCAGGUACGGUUGGAUCAACGUCGGCUGUGAUAUGCUUAAGUGCUCCAGCUGCCAGGCUUUCCUUUGUGCAUCCCUACAGCCAACGUUAGACAUUGAGAAAUAUAAAACUCGAGUUGCAGAAAUAUCGAGGCAGCUUCAAACGCAGCAUGAAAAGUAUUGUCCUUGGCCCGACUUUCCUUGUCCAGAGCGGUUCUGGUUGGUUCCAGCUUCUGAACCAUCAAAGCUUCUUACUUCCCUUCUGGAGCGCUUCCAGAGCACCUGCGUCCUGGCGCAGCAGCUUCCGGCGAUGAGUCCAGAGCUGCUCAAGUCCAUGUCUCUGACAGAGGAUGUGAUCAGCACUGUGCUGCAGUUGAUUGACGAAGAACAGAAGCGAAAGGGAGGGACUCCCUGCUCCGAGUCUUUGGCCGUGCAGGUGUCCGCAUGCAUCGUUUCUCUCUGUGGCUGGGGAGCAAGCCCAGCUCUGCAUGCAAUGAGCCUGCCAACCGUCUCCUGCUCCUACUGUAUGCGAAAGGUGGGCUUGUGGAACUUCCUUCAGAUAGAGGGGCUCGGCGGCGACGCAGAAGCGCCACCAAACCCCGCAGGGCCCUCUGGUCCCACCGCAGGGCCCGCGUCAGCAGCGUCCGACGGAGACGCUUCCGGAUCAGUCUCACCCACUCCAGCGCCAACAACUCCAUGUCGCAUGAAGCUUCGGAGUCAGGACUCCACCCGCACUGACCAGGAUGAAGGUACCGCCUCUCCAGUAGCCUCUCGUGCCCGAAGCAGAGACUCGCCGAGUCCAAGUGAAGAUCUGCCGAGUCCUUUAACCAGAGGCAAGAGGCCUGCAACCCGGAGUCGGGGACAGGGAUUCGGCUCAGGGACUGACGGCGCUGCCAACCUGCACCCUCCCAAACGCCUGUGUCUCUCAUUGGCCGGUGGUCCAGAUGGCCCUUUGCCCAAGAAAGCGUUUGACCCCCUCGCUCAACACAGAGACUGGUGUCCCUGGAUCUCUGAGGGCAAGGAGAAUAUGGAUCCAAGAGCCUUGUCGUCUUUGGCCAGAACCUCGACCGUUAAUCAGCAGGGCUGGAAAGCUGCUCUCGACCUCCUCAUGCCCACAAAGAAGAACUCCAACGCACAAGGUGGCACCCAAGCACAGGGCCCUCGUGACAAGUCUAAAAGAGUGUUUGCUAUUCUUCGUCAGUGGCAGCAUCGAGAGCAAGCAUGAAGUCACCAUCCUGAGUGGACUCAAUGAAUUUGUAGUGAAGUUUUAUGGCCCACAAGGAACGCCGUACGAGGGAGGCGUGUGGAAAGUGCGAGUAGAUCUUCCUGAUAAAUACCCAUUCAAAUCGCCAUCCAUAG